GAUGAACGCUGGCGGCGUGCCUAAUACAUGCAAGUCGAGCGAACAGAUGAGGAGCUUGCUCCUCUGACGUUAGCGGCGGACGGGUGAGUAACACGUGGAUAACCUACCUAUAAGACUGGGAUAACUUCGGGAAACCGGAGCUAAUACCGGAUAAUAUAUUGAACCGCAUGGUUCAAUAGUGAAAGACGGUUUUGCUGUCACUUAUAGAUGGAUCCGCGCCGCAUUAACUAGUUGGUAAGGUAACGGCUUACCAAGGCAACGAUGCGUAGCCGACCUGAGAGGGGGAUCGGCCACACUAGAGCUGGGACACGGUCCAGACUCCUACGGGAGGGAGCAGUAGGGAAUCUUCCGCAAUGGGCGAGAGCCUGACGGAGCAACGCCGCGUGAGUGAUGAAGGUCUUCGGAUCGUAAAACUCUGUUAUUAGGGAAGAACAAAUGUGUAAGUAAAUAUGCACGUCUUGACGGUACCUAAUCAGAAAGCCACGGCUAACUACGUG
rnacentral:rRNA from 1 species